rnacentral:rRNA from 1 species
CCGCGGCCUAUCAGGUAGUUGGUGAGGUAACGGCUCACCAAGCCGACGACGGGUAGGGGGCGUGAGAGCGUGGCCCCCCACACGGGAACUGAGACACGGUCCCGACGCCUACGGGCGGCAGCAGUGAGGAAUCUUGCCCAAUGGGGGAAACCCUGAGGCAGCGACACCGCGUGCGGGAUGAAGGCCUUCGGGUCGUAAACCGCUUUUCUGGGGGACGAGUAAGGACGGUACUCCAGGAAUAAGUCCCGGCUAACUACGUGCCAGCAGCCGCGGUAAAACGUAGGGGGCGAGCGUUAUCCGGAAUCACUGGGCGUAAAGGGCGUCUAGGCGGCAGCCUAAGUCCCGUGUGAAAGCUCCCGGCUCAACUGGGAGAGGGCAUGGGAGACUGGGCAGCUAGAGACUCGGAGGGGGGUGUGGAAUUCCCGGUGGAGUGGUGGAAUGCGUUGAGAUCGGGAGGAACACCAGUAGCGAAGGCGGCACCCUGGCCGAGAUCUGACGCUGAAGCGCGAGAGCGUGGGGAGCGAACGGGAUUAGAUACCCCGGUAGUCCACGCCGUAAACGAUGACAACUAGGUGUUGGGUGUCCAAGGAUGCUCAGUACCGCAGCAAACGCGAUAAG